rnacentral:misc_RNA from 1 species
AAGUCGUAACAAGGUUUCCGUAGGUGAACCUGCGGAAGGAUCAUUAAUGAUUUUUAAAGCGAGUCGAGCGUUUAAGCGAGGCUUUGCGAAAAUAUUUAAAACCCCACUCUUAUUAACUUUAAAAAAAUAAAUCAUGAUACAUGAAUUUAAAAAAAAGAUCACUUUCAACAACGGAUCUCUUGGCUCUC